CUCGCUCUGACUUUGCCUCAUGUGCUCGAGAUAUACCCUGAACUGCUGUCCGAAAUCCCCGCUUCUAUGCCAUUUUGAUUUUGGGGAUUGGACAGUGAAUCUGCGCCGGAGUUUUUACUCUAGAUUGCUCCUCUGGGUCGGUGUCCAAUCGUUUUCCUUGCGAUACUGGAGCCUCUAGUAUCCUACCCCGGGUUUCUCUCCACUGUGAUUACCAGAUUGCAGUGUUGUUCGUCAGAUGUUGGCGUGCGCCUUCGCAUCAUUUUGUGAAAUCAGUACUGUGUCAGUGUAUGUGGUAGUCACUGCGCCGCCGCCGCCGCCGUGGUGGUCGUGGUGGUGUCGAGAAGUGGCAUGUGGUUGGCCUUCGAUUGUUUGUUGCCUUCGGAGCCUAUGACAGAGUUAUGAUAUUAGCUCCUUUCAUGGAAGGAGUGUGUUCGUCGUAGAGGACACUUUUCUUUGCGAGUGGAUUCUUUGGACUUCGGGGUUGUUGUGAAACCACUCUUGUUUGAGGUUUCGUUCUUUGUUCCAUGUGCGCUCACAUGUUCGUAAUUGGGUUUGUCAAUCUACCAUCUGUAGGUUUUGAACUUUUCGCUUAGUUGGGUAUCAGUGAUCUCUCAGCUUGGAACAGUUAUGGAUCUCUAAGAGACUGGAGAGUUGUUCACAAAUCUGGUCCGCUUUCAAGUCUUGUCAAGCGCAAGUUAUGCAGUUUAACUAACUAUUUGUUUUUAAAAUGAUUCUCAGGUUCUCGGUCCAUCGGGCUGGGUUGUCUCACAUAUUCACCGACAUCACAAAUUAGUGGCUCUCUUUAAGCUGUUAAUCCUUCUGGAAUCUUACAGCCUUCAAAUCUAUGGAGCUUUUGCCUCAUUGAGAGAAGUCUAGUUAGGACCGAAAUAGAAUAGCUGAAGCAUCAAGUAACAGCCCAAAUGGACACCAUAAAAGUUUGUGUGAGUAAUUUAUGGGCUCUUCAGGAGCGCCGUUACUCUGUCGUUUACUUAACGGUUACGAGGUUUGUUCGUACCGUGAUGCGGCUCAUUCUUCGCAGCACUCCGAGAUACUUCUGGUGGUACUCUACGUCUUUCAGAUUGUCCUUCUUCUACGCGUGUGGCCUUCUGUUGCUCCGAUCAAUACUGUGUAUUUUGUUCUUACUAUAUCCAGGUCACACUGUGCUCAAAACGGCUUGCAAUCUAUAUCCCACAACUUAAUUUGUAAAUCAGUGAUUUCCAAUCCUUUCCCGUAUCUCCUGUUGAUAACGUCGUUUCUUUGAGAUGUAUGUUUAUUCGAUAGGUCUCUCAGAGGACCCAGCAGUACUGUUAUAUUGCAUGCGAGUUGGUGUGAAAAUCACCCAUAAUCAUUCCAAGUUGGGAGUCAUUAUGAUAGUUUUCUUUUGGAAGUACUUUGGUUGACAUCUAGUCCAAAUAAUGCAAGUGAGGUAUGCUGAGUUUGGGUGGUUCGAAAGAAAUUCCAGAUUUCACAGUUUUUAAUCUACUUCUCCUGCUGCCUACAGUUGAGAACGUAGGACGAGGUUGGCGUAUUUAGGCUGCUUUUUCGUCUCUACACAUCUUGCCAACAAGGAUGACCAUGACUGUGGCAGCGCUGACAACAGAAGACCUGGUGAUUCAAAACAACACUGAAGCUAGAUAAUUGAAUCAACUCAGUUCUUAAAGCUCGUGCAGUGCAGAUGCCAGCCACAAUGUUGUGGUGGGUACAUGAGAUUCACGGCUUCAUUAUUUUUCCCUGUAGCAUCAUAAAUACAUUCCAGGAGUAGCAAGUAUGACGUUGGACUCAUGCUAUUGUUGAGUCCUGGCGGAUAUGUAUAAGAGAUAAUUUAGGUUAGCACUCGGUUUUAGGUCCAUCAAGUUUGGUUGGUCUUAGAGACUACUAUUCUUGGAGUUAUUUGGAUUUCAUGAGGAUGUUGUGCACAUGUUUCUUUUCAGAACCAUGAGUCGUGUUUUUGCAACACUAAAUUAUUGUGGGAUGUUAUAUCCUUGAGGCCAUCACUGAACUGAAAAUGGUUGUAUCAUCUCAGUGAAGUUGACUUUUUCAGGAUAUCUCUUCAUUGGAGGUUCGUUUACAGGCUCUGCAUUUUCAAAUGUGAGCUCAAAUUAUAAAUGUUAUUGCUCUUACUGGA